rnacentral:rRNA from 1 species
GAUGAACGCUGGCGGCGUGCCUAAUACAUGCAAGUCGAACGCUUCACUUCGGUGAAGAGUGGCGAACGGGUGAGUAAUACAUAAGUAACCUGGCAUCUACAGGGGGAUAACUGAUGGAAACGUCAGCUAAGACCGCAUAGGUGUAGAGAUCGCAUGAACUCUAUAUGAAAAGUGCUACGGGACUGGUAGAUGAUGGACUUAUGGCGCAUUAGCUGGUUGGUAGGGUAACGGCCUACCAAGGCGACGAGGCGUAGCCGACCUGAGAGGGUGACCGGACAAACUGGGAGUGAGACACGGCACAGACCCCUACGGGAGGCAGCAGUAGGGAAUUUUCGGCAAUGGGGGAACCCCUGACCGAGAAACGCCGCGUGAAGGAAGAAGUAAUUCGUUAUGUAAACUUCUGUCAUAGAGGAAGAACGGUGGAUAUAGGAAAUGAUAUCCAAGUGACGGUACUCUAUAAGAAAGCCACGGCUAACUACGUGCCAGCAGCCGCAGUAA